AGCGCACACACACACACAGCGAAACAGUUGCGUGUGCUUAAAGCCUGCACCAACAACAAUCUGCACAUGUAUAUAUGUAUGUAUGUAUGUGUGUAUAAAUAUAUACAUACAUAUAUAGGCUAUGGCUACAGGAGCAAGGCAACCAACUGAGACCUACAACAACUGUGCCAGCAGUGCGAUGCCGAGAAAGCUCUCCACUCGAAACGCGAAAUGCGAAAACCAAGCCGAGAGAAUCCUAACGGCGGUCGUCGUGUCCCUUCGGCUGUAUUCGGUAAACCGGUCGCACCCAGAAUUUUCGCGGCUUCGUGAUGUAAGUGCCACUGUGCCAGUCGGUCUCGGUCUCCGCAAAAAAAUCAAACACGCCCGAGCUGAGUCCGUGAGCGAGUUGAGUCGAGUCGAGUCGAGUCGUUAACGCCGAGCGGAUACAAUUUUGUUAAAAAAAAGCCCAGGCAUAGAUACAUUUUCCACCUCUUUGUUGUGUUAAAGUCAAAGAACUAAGAUAAGACUUUCAGAUCUAGCAAAUAUGUCCCAUAGUUCCCCGAGAAGCGUAGCCACAGCUGUAACCACUUAACAAACAAUGCCAAAAGUUAAGGCGAAACGAAGCUCUAGCAAUCGAAACCAAUAAAAUGAACACCGUCGCCUGCAACACCAACAUCAACAUCGGUCACUUCGAGCAGGUUGCAGGCACUCAAAGGACAAUUAUAGCUGGAAUAACAUCAAACCGUAACGGAACAUCCACAACGAUAUUGAACGAGCGAUGAGAUGGAGCGUCCGUUGGGAUGACGAACUCAGAAACUCAGUAAGGUAGCUGCAACUGAAACUGAAACUGAAACUGAAACUGAAACCACAGCGGAAUCCGACGGAAUUUAGUGGCGACAAAUAUAGAAAAUCUCUGAAAUUUAAAACCCCAAAAACAAAAACCAAAAAAAAACAAAGAAGAAAAACCAAAGAAAAAAAACGCAAACGGCAGAGGCAGAGCCAUGAACAGUGCGGAUAUUUUGUAAUUAUUAAUGAGCGCAUAGAGCGGGGCAGUGUGAGCGGGGUGUAGCAGCGCAGAACAGAGCGAUACGUAGCGGGAUAUCACGAUGUACACUCUGCUGGAGCUCCACUAACACACUGACACACACACACACACAGACACUCACUCCCAGGCCCAGGACCCCCAAUCCCGACAGAAUCCCCACAGGACAGAACAGGACGACGGAGAAAGGCAGGAAGGAAAGGCAACGAAAGGCUCAAUUUCAAGGAAUUUGCAAAGCGCUCGCACACAAACUCACUAACCCACACACACACACACAGACACACACAUGAGCGGGCAUCUCUCUCGUCAGAAUAGAAGUAAUUAAAAGUAAAUAAAGAGGAGGCAAAAGAAAACCAAAAAAAAAAAAAAAGAAGUCCCUAAGAGCGUCGCUGAAACGCUGGAAAGGCAGGAAGUAACCUGAUUACGGGCAGAGCAGAAAAAGCGGCAGCAGCAGCAGCAGCAGCAAUUAAUGCCGCAGGAGGAAGAAAUCGGAACCAAAACCAGUUGCCGAGGAAGCGCAUCAGGAUCUGUUGCCACUGGCCUGAGCUCGACUCGAUCUCCCAUCAGGACGCGGACCGGCGUGAAUUGGAGAAAGGAACGGCGGCGGAGAAAGAAGUCUCCAAAGGGAACCACUCUUUCUCUCUCUAUCUAUCUCUCUCUCUCUCUCUCUAAGCACACCCACUCAACCAUACACAUGCACUGAAGUACUGACUGAAUGCCUCGCUGCCUAAACAACCAACUAACUCACUGACUGAGAGACUUCAACAAGCGGAGAAGUACGGAGAAAGCCCUGGACUAGAAGCGCAAGUAGCCGAGCGAAAACGGGGGAAACCAGCUAGCAACUAAACUAAAGGAGCAACCUUGACUAAUAACUGCAACAGCAAGAACAACAACAACAAC